GGGUAGAUAGGUGCUGGUGUGCCUCGCGGUCUUCAAAACCGUUGCGAGGGGUUAGAAGCCUCUUUGAUGGGUUCGAUUCCCAUGUACUCCC
rnacentral:tRNA from 1 species